CGGGGCGUGGCUCAGUCUGGUAGAGCACCGCGUUCGGGACGCGGGGGUCGGAGGUUCGAAUCCUCUCGCCCCGACCA
rnacentral:tRNA from 1 species